rnacentral:rRNA from 1 species
GACGAACGCUGGCGGCGCGCCUAACACAUGCAAGUCGAACGGAGACAAGAGGCGCUUGCUUUUCUUGACUUAGUGGCGAACGGGUGAGUAACGCGUGAGUAACCUGCUCUGGAGUGGGGGACAACCGUUGGAAACGACUGCUAAUACCGCAUAAGCUCACGGAUCCGCAUGGAUCUGCGGGAAAAGGAGUUAUUCGCUUCAGGAUGGACUCGCGUCCAAUUAGCUAGUUGGUGGUGUAACGGCCCAGCAAGGCGACGAAGGGUACCCGGGCUGGGAGGCUGACCCACCGCGAUGGGGCUGAGGCCCGGCCCCGACUCCUACGGAACGCUGCAGUGUGUUAUAUUACACGAUGAGGGAAACCCUGAUGCAGCGGCGCCGCGUAGGGGGGGCUUGUUUUCGGAUUGUGAUCUCCUGUCGUACGGAGCGAUAGUGACGGUACCUGACAAGAAAGCACCGGCUAACUACGUG